rnacentral:rRNA from 1 species
GUGCCAGCCGCCGCGGUAAUACAUAGGGUGCAAGCGUUGUCCGGAAUUAUUGGGCGUAAAGAGCUCGUAGGUCGUUUGUUACGUCGGAUGUGAAAACCUGAGGCUCAACCUCAGGCCUGCAUUCGAUACGGGCAAACUAGAGUUUGGUAGGGGAGACUGGAAUUCCUGGUGUAGCGGUGGAAUGCGCAGAUAUCAGGAGGAACACCAAUGGCGAAGGCAGGUCUCUGGGCCAAUACUGACACUGAGGAGCGAAAGUCUGGGGAGCGAACAGGAUUAGAUACCCUGGUAGUCCAGACCGUAAACGGUGGGCACUAGUUGUGGGAACCUUCCACGGUUUCUGCGACGCAGCUAACGCAUUAAGUGCCCCGCCUGGGGAGUACGAUCGCAAGAUUAAAACUCAAAUGAAUUGACGGGG